CGUGUUCCCGUUGCAUGCUGGGGGUUGUAGUUCGUAGCUUAAUUAGACGCCGCGCAUAGGCACGCGUUAAAAACUACGUUUUCUAGAAUCUCUUGGGGGUGAGAUUGAUUUCUCUUUAAACCUGCUAUGUGCGGCUCUCUCACCUGGCCCUUGUACGUUGCCUUUCCUGCCCGCUUGUGCCCUGUGAAGAGAUAGAUCGUGAGUUUUGUCUCUGGCAAGGCAUGAUGGCACACGGCAGAUAGAUCUUUGAUCUUGCUGGGCUCAGAGGCCUUCACCUCAACCUCUCAGAAACAGAAAACCCAAGUAACUGGAUUUCUGUAAGGACCAAGAAAACAGAGGGGAAUGCUGCAUAGAAUGCCUACCAGGAUAAAGUCAAUAAAAGUUGUCUGACUUUUUGGGAUGCCAUUUUGCAGCUGAGUUCCAGGACAAUUUUUGGGGUUUUCCUUAUGUCCCAUUAGCCCUGGUCAUGAUGUGCUGCAGAGGAGGAAGUUGCUUAUUGUUUUAUAUGGUUGGCGCAUUUCACAAUUGUGACACAAAGGUUUUCCUUGUCCUUUAACAGUCCUCUUAGCGUACUAUGGCCUUCAUAAAACGACUUAUAGCCUUGUGUCCUUGUGUACUUCUGGAACUUUUUGUGACUUCUAAUAUCCUUAUCAGGGGAAUAAGGUACCUCCACUUCUCCAGUAGAGAAUUCGGGUGCACAAUCAAAGGAUGUCUUAUAUGAAUAAGAAGGAUCAGCACUUUCAUGAUACUUUAUUCCACAUGAUAAUACAGUAUCAUAUCUGAUACUUUCCCCAAACGUUGGAUGUGAUACUAUAUUAUCAUGUGGAAUAAAGAAUCAUGAACACGAUACCAGGAGAGUGCUAAUCCAUCUCUUAUAUAUAUAAGUAGUAAUUGUAACUUACGUAUUUACAGAAUCAUUUUCAUUUACAUUGAGACUUUCACAGCAGCUAAUAAAUGCUUGUGAAAGAGCAGGAAAUGGCUGAAGAGCCUACAGCAAAUCUCAGACAGAGAGAACAAGGAAAUAAGACAGGUUGCUGUGGGGAACCAUCCAUUUGACCUUAGACUUAUACACAAAAUGGAAUGUCUCCUAGUCCCAAAUUUUAGUCCCAUGGCCCCUAGUGGUUCCUGGGUUCCUGAUGGACUCCCGUUCCUCACAAAUGUAAAUGAAAAAGAGGACCAUCUCCAGCAUCUCCCUUACUUCCUGCUUACCUUGCAAAGGAAUUAUGGGAGUUGUAGUAGCUCAGCAGUUAAGUUAAAGUGAUCAAUUUGUAUUAUCCUGGGGAAAAAUUACUAUGACAUAAUACCAGAAAGUGUCCUAAAAUAGCCAAAAUAGCAACUCUCAAUAGCAACUAUGUGACGAAGGUAUUCAUCAAAACAAUUCAAAAUAGGUAUGGUGUACAGAAUGUGAGCCUUUAAUUGCAAUGCAGGUAUGGGACCUGGUAUCUGGAAUGCUUGGGACCUGGGGUUUUCCACAUAAGGGAUCCUUCCAUAA